UAAGAGCCGAGAGCCGAGCAGACACUCACACUCCCUCAGCAGAAGAGACUCAGAUACAGUUUAGACUACAGUGUCCAGAGCUGCACUGAUCUUUGUGUGAUUUCACGAAGAUGGUCUUUAAUGGUUUGAGCACAAGAUUUCCCAAAAGGAAUAUAUUUCCACACACCUGAGGCAGAAACAUUAUUCUUCGAGGAAUUGCCAUCUAAAUGAUAGUGCCUAAAAUAAGGGCUGAAGGUCACCUUUAAUUUACUUCUGGAAGCAGCCUGUGUUUCAAGUACAUGGGCCACACGUGGCCGUCAAACAGACCAGGAGGGUCAGGAACGGUGUAAGUUCUCAUACUGAAAUAAAGGAGACGGAUUUGUUCGAAAACCAGCAACUGAAUCAUCUAUAAACAUCUGAUCUUCAAAAGCAGUUCUCACCUUCUUC